GAUUCCCCAUCGCCGCCACCCACCACCUUCCCCUCCCCCCUCCUCUGCUAGUGCCAUGCCCAUCCCAUCCAUCUUCCCCCUCCCCUCCGCCUCCACCUCAACCACUCGACAUUGGCACAUCGCCGCCGCCUGCACCCACCAGCCACCUUGCUCAUGGGCUCGGCCCUCUCCCCCAUCCUUUCCUCACGUUCUCUCCCAAAACAGAUCGAGUAGCCGGUAGCCAGAUCCGCAGCGGCCCUUCCAGUGGCCAUGCCAUGGAGCUCAUCCACUAGGUCCCCUCUUCUCCCCGCUCCUCCCUCCCCUCCUUCUCUCACUGAUUUGAUUUGAUUUGGUUUCGCAGCUGUGAUUCAAUUUUGUCAAGUUGGUGAUGUUGCUGCCUCGAAGGACCUGCCGAAGUGGAGAAGGAGGCCCACCGGCGCCAUGGGCUAACUAGAACCAAGUCAAGACCUCCAAGACACCAUCAACCUCUAGCCCACAUCAGCCGCAACUCCUCCCCUGUAGAGUGAAAAGGUCUUUCUUCUCCUCCCUGCAACAUGCAUCUCUCUUUUGGUGAUGAUAGAUCCCAUAUUCUAGUUACGGUUGUACAAAUUUGUGAUAUUUCUGUUAUUAGAGUGAGUAGAACAAUUGAGGAAAUCUCAUGGUGAUUAUGCAUAUGAAUCCAUCCUUAGAAAGGAUGACAGUAAAUCUAGUCUGAUGAGCUUGAUUCAGCUAGUUACGGGAUGAGCUUCUUGUCUGAUUAUGAGCAUCAUUUUUUGUUCUUACUGUACAAUAGUAGUAUGUUUUUUUACGUGGGUCACACAUCUGUUCUUCUACAGCUCAUACCUAAACCCAACUCUAGCAGCACCACUAGCAGUAGGUCAUGCCCAAUUAUAUCCCAAUUCUAGCACCAACAAUUUCAUAGCGACCAGUGGUUAUGUAUGUAUGUAUAUUUCUUAAAUGCUAACAUGUUCCUAGAUGAAACUCCAUUUCUCUACUCUGAUGUUGAUGUUGCUGAACGGAGACCCUCGACGAUGCACAAAAAAUCAUGCUUUUUUGUGCACUUUGCUUCGACCUGGUUGUGUGAAGAAUGCCAACCAUGGAGAAGCUGUUGCGGGGGUUAAAGGGUCAGGUGAGGACACCUGGAAUGCAGCUCAACAUCACUACCAUAAGUUCAAGUCCCCUGUACCGAAGAGAUCAUCGAUGACGACACAUAGAAAAUCAUGACAAACACCAACAAGUUUGUCAAGGUAUGAUUGGGUAGUGGGCUACAUAGUGCUACCCACCAUAAUCCUCGCCAUGACAUGAUAGUUGCCAUCAGGAGAGUCGACGAAGAACCUGAACAACAGCCUCGAAAGUUUAUAUGUUCUGUUAUUGUAAACUGGAUUGUUGUGCUUCUUAGUGAAUCUAUGUUGUAAAUUAUCAUUACAUGAAGGAUUUGUAAACUGCUAUGUUGUAUAUAUACACAUAAUUUUUUUGAGAAAAUAUAUGCUAUGGAUGGCAACUGUUUGAAAUUA